AUUGAACGCUGGCGGCAUGCCUAACACAUGCAAGUCGAACGGCAGCACGGGAGCAAUCCUGGUUGCGAGUGGCGAACGGGUGAGUAAUACAUCGGAACGUGCCCAGCAGUGGGGGAUAACCCGGCGAAAGCCGGACUAAUACCGCAUACGACCUACGGGUGAAAGCGUGGGAUCGCAAGACCUUGCGCUAUCGGAGCGUUCGAUGUCAGAUUAGCUAGUUGGUGGGGUAAAGGCCUACCAAGGCGACGAUCUGUAGCUGGUCUGAGAGGACGACCAGCCACACUGGGACUGAGACACGGCCCAGACUCCUACGGGAGGCAGCAGUGGGGAAUUUUGGACAAUGGGCGCAAGCCUGAUCCAGCCAUGCCGCGUGCGGGAAGAAGGCCUUCGGGUUGUAAACCGCUUUUGUCAGGGAAGAAACGCUCCGGGCUAAUACCACGGAGUAAUGACGGUACCUGAAGAAUAAGCACCGGCUAACUACGUG
rnacentral:rRNA from 1 species